rnacentral:lncRNA from 1 species
AACUCUGCGUAAAUAAUUUUUGUAGCGUAAAAGCAAAAUAAAUUCAUACAUACAGUGGCACAUGUAGCCAGGUAUACAAAAUAUUCUACAAUGACAUGUGGGCUCCCAAAAUAAACAUAUAUGUACAAGACUAUAGACUUGCGAUUUCUAAGGGUGCAAACCCAAAAGCAAACCCUCGACAUAAUCAGCGAUCUACAGACU